rnacentral:rRNA from 1 species
CGUAGGGGGCAAGCGGUUGUCCGGAAUUAUUGGGCGUAAAGGGCGCGUAGGCGGGUAUUUAAGUCUGGUGUGAAAGAUCAGGGCUCAACCCUGAGAGUGCAUCGGAAACUGGGUAUCUUGAGGACAGGAGAGGAAAGUGGAAUUCCACGUGUAGCGGUGAAAUGCGUAGAUAUGUGGAGGAACACCAGUGGCGAAGGCGACUUUCUGGACUGUAACUGACGCUGAGGCGCGAAAGCGUGGGGAGCAAACAGGAUUAGAUACCCUGGUAGUCCACGCCGUAAACGAUGAGUGCUAGGUGUAGAGGGUAUCGACCCCUUCUGUGCCGCAGUUAACACAAUAAGCACUCCGCCUGGGGAGUACGGCCGCAAGGUUG